CCAAUAGCGUAUAUUAAAGUUGUUGCAGUUAAAAAGCUCGUAGUUGAAUUUCGGAAUCUGUCGGUCGGUCGGGCUUCACUGUCCGCACUGGCCGGAUGGAUUCCUACCUUCUGAAUAACCAGCAUGCUAUUACGUUAGUGCGUUGGGGAAGCAGAGCUAUGACCUUGAAAAAAUUAGAGUGCUUAAAGCAGGCUUGGGCUUGAAUAGAUUAGCAUGGAAUAAUACAAUAGGACGGCAUGGUUCUAUUUUGUUGGUUUCUAGGAUCACCGUAAUGAUUAAUAGGGAUAGUUGGGGGCAUUAGUAUUCAAUUGUCAGAGGUGAAAUUCUUGGAUUUAUUGAAGACUAACUUCUGCGAAAGCAUUUGCCAAGGAUGUUUUCAUUAAUCAAGAACGAAAGUUAGGGGAUCGAAGACGAUCAGAUACCGUCGUAGUCUUAACCAUAAACUAUGCCGACUAGGGAUCGGACGAUGUUGAUUUUUUAAUGACUCGUUCGGCGCCUUACG
rnacentral:rRNA from 1 species